CACAGCAUUAGCCUAAAUAAAAAAAAAAAAAAAUUGCACGAUGAUUCCAAAAUCGCGAUGGAUCUUCCACUUCGGUAUCCCGCAUAUGAACUACCAAUUCUUGGAAAGUAACUCACUCUCCAAACUGUGGCCUGAAAAUUCAGCUUAAUCCCUGUGAUUUAUGGCGUCAAUCAAUGGGAUCCAGGAGGCACGAUUCAACGUAAUGACUCUUAAAUUUGAAGUGGGAAGAAGGAAUAAAGAACUGAAUUGCAAGUGAAGUAAUGGGAAUACAGUGGCAGAGUUCAUUGCAGAGUUGUGAGAAGGAAUUUUUUUUUUCCCCCAAAAAUGGUCAAAAGUGUGAGAAUAAUUGUCAUGAGAAGGAAUUUCCUUUUGGCAAUGCCAAAAUUUUCUUUGCUAUACAAAACCUAAUGUCUCUGUAGUUUCUUUACAAUUGUAGGAAGCCAUUGAAGAUAUCAGAAGCCUGAUGACAUCACCCUCUGCUUUUUAGAAGAAUAAUGCCAAAACCUUGUAGAGUCUGAAAAGCAGCAGCUCAAGAAUUGGAAUUUGAUCCCCUGUUUUAUUCAUUAGAAUUAGAUCCUUUAUUUAUUAUUCAUAAUAAAUCAUAGAGGAUCCAUUUCUGAUAAUAAAAAUUGCCAACUCAUUCAAAAGUCAAGACCAUCUCAUUCAUUGAUAUGAUCAAAAGCCAAAGCCAACCAAASAGCUCCAUCCGACGGCUCUGAUUUGAUAGAAGUGUAUAAUCUGUGUUUCUAGUGGGCAAAUAGUUGUUCAAAUUUUAUUCUCCACAUUAAUUCUUUUGAUAUAAAGGAAUAUGUAUCGGCUCAAAUUCUUUAUGUUAUAAAAAUGUUGUGACAUAGAAUAUCUUUUGAUGGUGACUUUGCCCAGUGGUUUAUGAAA